UAGGAAGGUAUGUUUUAUCCAACUUAGACCAAAAUGUUAUGGAGUGAAACAUUUAUAAGGUUGCCAGCGGGAGGUGAAAGAAAAGAAAAGGGUAGAGUUUGCAACUUAGUAUCUCUAAAACUUCAUUUAGGGACCUACUAUUAUUACCUUUCUGGAAAUAAAGUACCUGUACGGCCCUUUUAAGGACUGUUUUAGACAAUAUUCACAGGGAGCAUAAAAGCCCUGAAUGAACAAGUUGACAGAAUUGUGUGGCUGGGAGCAUCCGUCUAAUUUGAUGAGUUUAGAACCAAUUCUGCAGCCCAAAUGAAGAGUCUGUGUCUCAGAUGAUACUCAUGGUUCACUAAUGGGUUGCUUUUCAUAAGUAACGAGAUGACUCACAUCAUUUGUUUCCCAAGAUGGUACAGAAGAGUAUACUUGAAGAUUCCAAGUAAAAAUAUCUACCAGAACUUUGAAGAGGAAGACACAAGAAUAGAAAAAGGAAAUAUAUCCUGGGAAAAGCUUUCAGCAGUGAAAGAAUGUGAGACGAGAAAGCGCUCUUGGAAGUCGUUCAUAACCGAUGAAAGGUUAAAUGCAAAGAGAACGAGGGAUUUAGAUACGAGAGCAGACACCUCAUUGAAGUGGCU
rnacentral:lncRNA from 1 species